GUUGGAGAUGGUUGCGAGACUUGUGGGUGGGAAUGAAACCAGGGUCGUCUAGAAGAGCACCCAGCGUUCUUAACCACUGAGACAUCUCUUCAACCCUCUAAAGCAAAUUUUAAAUGGCCAUAUUGACUAAGCAUCUACAUUUAGAAACAGUAGAAGCAGUAUAAAUAUGCCUGACAUUUGAAGGAGCCAGGUAAAGUGGACAUACUAAAACAUGGGCCAGUGAGAUGGCAUUUAUCUGCAAGCCUAAUGACCCAAGUUUGAUCCCAAGAACUCAUGGUGGGAGCAGGGAAUCACUUUGAUCUCUCUGAAACAUGCCAUGGCACUGGGGUGUCCACUUCCCAUUUAAUUAUUCAUAUAUAUAUAUACACACACACAGACUUUAAAACAAUCCAUUACUAUUUUCCCUUUGACUUACUGCAAUUUGUACCUUGCAGUACUUGUUCAGAAUUGUUCCUGAUGGCCUACUUGAUUUCAGUUCCUGGAACUCCACAUGGUAAAAGAAUAGAACUGACUCCUUCACAUUGUCAUCUGACCUCCAUGUGUGCACUAUGGCAUAGACACACACACACACACAAAAUGAUUUUUUUUUAAAUCAGCACUGUUUAACUUAAACAUUACCCAAGAUAGACUUGGUAAUGCAUGCUUUUAAUCCCAGGACUUGGGGUAGAGAUAGAUGGAUCUCUGUGAGUUCAAGGUCAGCCUGGUGUACAAAGUGGGUUACAGAGCAGCCAGGGCUGUUCAGUGCAAUUCUGUCUUAAGAAAGAAAAGAAGGGGGAAAAAAGGAAGG
rnacentral:lncRNA from 1 species